rnacentral:rRNA from 1 species
GCGUUGUUCGGAAUUAUUGGGCGUAAAGGGUGCGUAGGCGGUUUGACAAGUCUAAUGUGAAAUCUAUGGGCUCAACCCAUAGUCUGCAUUGGAAACUGUCGGGCUUGAGUAUGGGAGAGGUGAGUGGAAUUUCCGGUGUAGCGGUGAAAUGCGUAGAUAUCGGAAGGAACACCUGUGGCGAAAGCGGCUCACUGGACCAUUACUGACGCUGAGGCACGAAAGCUAG